CUACGAAGAAAUCCUUUGCUGCUAAUUUUGCUGAAAUGGAGAGAAGCAUAGGAGAAGAGACACCAUUUCUUCACGCUGACUUUGGAAUGACUCAGAGCACGGAGCAGGAGCCUGAAAGAUGGAGGCAGCUCGACGUGUACUGAUGUGGAAACAGCUCCAACCCCCGUUGGUUAGGUCAGCGACGUCUGCAACAAAUAUGAUCACAAGGGUGAAGGUGACAUGAUUUACUUAAAUCAGGCAAUUUCUUCAUUAAAGCAUUGAAGCCUCAACUCAUAAAGACACUCUUUAGCAGAUGAACUAUAAUGUCGCCCAGCAUUUGUCAUAUUAGGUGAUUUGAAAAGAAAGAACAAUUAUAAAAAUGAAUGUAAUUCUCUGUUGAAGAAAAAAAAUUCAGUUUUUGCAGCAGGGGGUGGUUAAUUUUCCACAGAUAAAAACAGGUUUCACAGUCAUUCCGCAGCUAUAAGAUUCCACAAUUAAAACAUAAGAAGAAAGGGCUGCACCGCCAAAGCAGACAGUUGUAGGAAUUAGUUGUUUGGGGCUGGGGAAGCAGGUUUCCCCUCCAGCAUCAAAGGUUAUUUUGUCCCCAGAGGAACAGUUCUGUUGCCAUAAACUGUGCUGGUGUGCCCCCAACCCCCCACCUUAGCCCAGCGUCUGAGCUGCUUUCAAUUAGCAGGGAUUAUUAAACUGGAAACAUUUUAAACUGCUGCUGAAGCUGCUUUCCUGCCUUAUGAGCUGAGCUAGAGGCGUCACAAUAAAAGCUGAUUGAUUAGCAAAGAAUGUACU